rnacentral:rRNA from 1 species
UACAGAGGUCUCAAGCGUUGUUCGGAUUCAUUGGGCGUAAAGGGUGUGUAGGUGGCGCCGUAAGUCGGGUGUGAAAUUUCGGAGCUUAACUCCGAAACUGCAUUCGAUACUGCGGUGCUUGAGGACUGGAGAGGAGACUGGAAUUCAUGGUGUAGCAGUGAAAUGCGUAGAGAUCAUGAGGAAGACCAGUGGCGAAGGCGGGUCUCUGGACAGUUCCUGACACUGAGACACGAAGGCCGGGGGAGCAAACGGG